GCUGGUACCGUCAAACUUACGGGUAUUAACCGCAAGCCUUCGUCCCAACUGACAGGAGUUUACAAUCCGAAGACCUUCAUCCUCCACGCGGCGUUGCUGGAUCAGGCUUUCGCCCAUUGUCCAAUAUUCCCUA
rnacentral:rRNA from 1 species